GCCAAAAGAAAAAGAAAAAAUGAAGUAGGAUACUUACUUACAUCGUAGAAGACAAGAAGUAAAAGAUAGUAAGUGUAACUACAGCAAUCAUUCCUGAAGACUGAAGAAAUUUUCAGGUGAAAGCCAAGAAAUUCCAAGAUCUAGUAGCUGUCUCAUUCCUCAGAGUGGACAACAUGAGGUGUUCCCAUUAGUCUGGGGAUCAGGCGCAUUUGGCUCUUCUUCUGGAACAAACAACUCAAC
rnacentral:lncRNA from 1 species